GAACCCCUUCACAGGACUGAAAGCAAAAAGCACCCGAGACAAAACAGUCAGCAUGGAUUUCCAGGACCGAAGUAAGUCGUGAUGCAGGAAAUGAGUGCGUUUCACAGCUUGCUGAGCCCCUACUCGACCCAGGAAGCCCAGCUGGCCCCUCCUCUCAACAGGAGUGAGAAUCAGGUAUGUUGGUCGGCCAUGGACUCUCCUCAAUGGUAAAUGGGUGUGUGGGGGUCAG
rnacentral:lncRNA from 1 species